UGGAGGAAAGCAGGGGAUCGCAAGACCUUGCGCUUUUGGAGCGGCCGAUGUCUGAUUAGCUAGUUGGUGGGGUAAAGGCUUACCAAGGCAACGAUCAGUAGUUGGUCUGAGAGGACGACCAGCCACACUGGGACUGAGACACGGCCCAGACUCCUACGGGAGGCAGCAGUGGGGAAUUUUGGACAAUGGGCGAAAGCCUGAUCCAGCCAUGCCGCGUGAGUGAAGAAGGCCUUCGAGUUGUAAAGCUCUUUCAGUCGAGAAGAAAAAAUUGCGACUAAUAAUCGCAAUUCAUGACGGUAUCGACAGAAGAAGCACCGGCUAACUACGUGCCAGCAGCCGCGGUAAUACGUAGGGUGCAAGCGUUAAUCGGAAUUACUGGGCGUAAAGGGUGCGCAGGCGGCUUUGUAAGUCAGAUGUGA
rnacentral:rRNA from 1 species